UGCCGCCUGCCCCGGUGAGCUGCGGCUUUCGUUUCCGACCUCAGAUCGGACGAGAUUACCCGCUGAAUUUAAGCAUAUCACUAAGCGGAGGAAAAGAAACU
rnacentral:rRNA from 1 species